rnacentral:rRNA from 1 species
AACGAACGCUGGCGGCAUGCCUAACACAUGCAAGUCGAACGAGACCUUCGGGUCUAGUGGCGCACGGGUGCGUAACGCGUGGGAACCUGCCCUUAGGUUCGGAAUAACUCCCCGAAAGGGGUGCUAAUACCGGAUAAUGUCUUCGGACCAAAGAUUUAUCGCCUUUGGAUGGGCCCGCGUUGGAUUAGCUAGUUGGUAGGGUAAAAGCCUACCAAGGCGACGAUCCAUAGCUGGUCUGAGAGGAUGAUCAGCCACACUGGGACUGAGACACGGCCCAGACUCCUACGGGAGGCAGCAGUGGGGAAUAUUGGACAAUGGGCGAAAGCCUGAUCCAGCAAUGCCGCGGGAGUGAUGAAGGCCUAAGUGUUGUAAAGCUCUUUUACCCGGGAUGAUAAGGACAGCACAGGGAGAAUAAGCCCCGGCUAACUCCG